CCUCAGCCCAUCCAUCUCCCAAGUCAGGCAGCCACAGAUGCUGAAAAUGGUUUGAGAGAGAAGUAAAGGUGGGGGUGGGGGGACGGGAGGAAGGGGUGAAGAGGAAUAGUUACUUGUGCAGGUUUGAGUGCUUAUUUUUCUUUCUCCAGAUUUAAUGGCAGGAAAAUCCUCUGUAUCACAUGAGGAUUAACAGAGAUGAAAGAAUGUGUCUGCCUUUCGAAUCACUAAAGCCAGUGACAGAUUUUGCUGACAUACCAAUCGGCUUUAUCCCCGGGCCUUGACCACCCUGGCCCUCCUGUCCUCUCUCCAUCUGCCUGGCCCCUUUCUCUCCUUAAACCUUCCCCAGACCCUGCCC
rnacentral:lncRNA from 1 species